UAUUGUUGCAGAAGAUGCGUUGGAAUUAAAAGACCAACAGGAUCCUUAGUGUAUCUACGACUUCUAAUGACCUGGAUGGUUAGUUCCCACUUUGUCCGUCCUCUUAUCCUAUUCCUACCCACCACAAUCCUUUGAGACAUCAGCAAAUACUAGGCCACCAACAUUGAAGAGGCAUGUACAAAUGUGGCACAGUAUCAGAGGAAGAGGAGCCAAUGCAGAGAGGUCAUCUGAUUGUUCUCGCAACUUUUCUCAACUGCCUGAUAGAAGUAUUCUGUAAGAUUCUGAGCCCAGCUGACACCACGUAUCAAUUGGAUAAUUGUAGAAUCUGAGGCAAAUUUCUUCACUGUCAUUGUCCCAAUGAUUAUUAUCAGUCAUUAAUUUCCCAAAUCUAUAUAACUUUCUCAGACCUUUCGCUGAGCUUCAGAUGCUCAAAUGCCUGUUGAGUAUCUCUGCCUGAUUAUCUUACAGAGACCUCAAAAGCAGGACUUUUUCCCAAUGCGGCGUUCCAUUUACAGCAGUGCUGUUCACCCACUAACAAAUCAAAAACUGAAGAGAUUUGUGUCUUAAUCCAUUUGGGCUGCUAUAACAAAAUAUUACAAACUGGAUAAUUUAUUCACAGUAGAAAUUUGUUUCUCACAUUACUGGAGACUGGGAAGUCCAAAAUCAAGAUGCUGACAAGUUUCGUGUCUGGUAAAGGACAAAUCUCUACUCUAAGGUGGCACCUAGAAUACUCUGUCCUCACCUGGCAGAAGGUGGAGGAGCAAAAAGAGGCCUAGUUAGUUCCAUUCCACACUUUUAAUAAGACUUUCCAUGAAGUUGGAGCCCUAAAUGCCCAAUCACCUUCUAAAGGACGCAUCUCUUCCUACUGUUGCAUGGGAAGUUAAAGUCCAACGUGAAUUUUGGAGGACACACAAACAUUCGAACAAUAGCAAGAUCUUAGCUGCUUCUUUCUCGGUCCCCAAACCUACAGAAGUAAUUACUUAUUUUUCACUUCCUUGGAGCACACCUGUCUCUAAUGCUACCUUCUCUUACCCAGCUAUCACUUCCUAAGGUUUAGAAAAGCAGAGGAUUAAGUUGUCUGGAUUUUCUAGAAAAUAACAGGUAAUUAGAAUGUGAAUGGGGCUCUCUGGAUUCUCCCACGGUUUUGUAGUACAGCUUACAACAAUAAAUUUAGUCAUGUUCA